rnacentral:RNase_P_RNA from 1 species
AGUCGGCCAGACCGCCGCUGGUGCAAUCGCUGAAAGGCGGCACUGGAGGAAGGUCCGGACUGCACAGGGCAGCGUAGGAGGUAACACCUCUCCACCGCGAGGUGAGGAUCAGAGCAACAGAGACGAGUCUCUGUGGCCUUGGGCGGGGCGAAAGCCGCGCCAAAGGCCUUUCGAAAGAAAGGCCGGGGGCACAGAGGGUGAAACGGGCAAUCUCUACGCGCAGCAACACCAAAUAGGCACACAUUGAUCGGCAUGGCUUGCCAUGUCGUUCUACCCCUGGCCCGGGGGCCGUGUGCGGGUAGGUGGCAUCGAGCCGUUCUGGCGACAGGCGGCCCAGAGGAAUGGCGGUCACGGCGCAGUGUCGCGAGACGCGGCGCCGCACAGAAUCCGGCCUAUCGGCUGACUUCA